GUACACGUGGACAGCGAAGGACUUAUGGGUUACGGUGCAAUGUCUUUCCGGCAGACAGUAAUCGACGGGCUGGAAUUUUACUCUACACUACUGGAAUCACUGGAGGCAGCAAAUAUCGGUGGUGGAAAUUGCGGGGAUUGGAUGAGAAAAAUAGAGAAUUUCGUGCUGUUUCCUAAGAUAGUUGAUAUGAUCGGAGCAGUAGGGCGGCGUGGAGGUGGAGGAUCGUGGAGGGAUGCCAUGGUGGAUGCCGGAUUCCGGCCGGUUGGACUAAGCCAGUUUGCCGAUUUUCAAGCAGAUUGUUUAUUGGGUAGGGUACAGGUAAGAGGAUUCCACGUGGCAAAGAGACAAGCAGAGAUGUUGCUUUGCUGGCAUGACAGGGCCCUAGUAGCCACGUCAGCUUGGAGGUGUUAAUAAUAAUAAAUCUAACCCUAAACUAGUUUUAAUUUAAUAAUAGCAGUGAUUUGGAUCUUUAGCUGUAUGGUUCAGUUUUAGGGGUUGGCUUAGCAUAUAUAACAAUAGAUUAAGAAGAAGAAAAAAAAGAAAAA
rnacentral:misc_RNA from 1 species